rnacentral:rRNA from 1 species
AUUGAACGCUGGCGGCAGGCCUAACACAUGCAAGUCGAACGGUAACAGGAAGCAGCUUGCUGCUUCGCUGACGAGUGGCGGACGGGUGAGUAAUGUCUGGGAAGCUGCCUGAUGGAGGGGGAUAACUACUGGAAACGGUAGCUAAUACCGCAUAAUGUCGCAAGACCAAAGAGGGGGACCUUCUGGCCUCUUGCCAUCGGAUUUGCCCAGAUGGGAUUAGCUUGUUGGUGGGGUAACGGCUCACCAAGGCGACGAUCCCUAGCUGGUCUGAGAGGAUGACCAGACAAAAUGGGACUGAGACACGGUCCAGACUCCUACGGGAGGCAGCAGUGGGGAAUAUUGCACAAUGGGGGGAAGCCUGAUGCAGCAAUGCCGCGUGUAUGAAGAAGGCCUUCGGGUUGUAAAGUACUUUCAGCGGGGAGGAAGGGAGUAAAGUUAAUACCUUUGCUCAUUGACGUUACCCGAAGAAGAAGCACCGGCUAACUCCGUG